ACUUUUAAAGGAUAGU
rnacentral:tRNA from 1 species